GAUGAACGCUGGCGGCGUGCUUAACACAUGCAAGUCGAACGGUGAAGGCGGAGCUUGCUCUGCUGGAUCAGUGGCGAACGGGUGAGUAACACGUGAGCAAUCUGCCCCUGACUCUGGGAUAAGCGCUGGAAACGGCGUCUAAUACUGGAUACGAGCUGCGAAGGCAUCUUCAGCAGCUGGAAAGAACUUCGGUCAGGGAUGAGCUCGCGGCCUAUCAGCUUGUUGGUGAGGUAACGGCUCACCAAGGCGUCGACGGGUAGCCGGCCUGAGAGGGUGACCGGCCACAAUGGGACUGAGACACGGCCCAGACUCCUACGGGAGGCAGCAGUGGGGAAUAUUGCACAAUGGGCGAAAGCCUGAUGCAGCAACGCCGCGUGAGGGACGACGGCCUUCGGGUUGUAAACCUCUUUUAGCAGGGAAGAAGCGAAAGUGACGGUACCUGCAGAAAAAGCGCCGGCUAACUACGUG
rnacentral:rRNA from 1 species